CUCCAGAGGAUGGAGUGGGUAGAGGGAGCUGAAUAGCUGGAAGGAAAGCAGGUUGAGUCCUCAGGCUCCUUGGAAAAAGGAUAGAGCAGAUGUAUCAGUCUAUUUUCAAUCCAAGAAGAGGAAGCAAAUGGAUAGCUGUCGACUACUGUUCUAGUUCAGGGGACUUUGUAGGAAAUGAUGAGUGAAGAUCUUCAAUACAAAUGUCUACAGAAGGCCAGGCAGAUAAGGUACCUGGCCAGGGUCGGCCAUAGUUCGAGAAAAACACAUCACCUUGGGAUCCGAAUUUGUGAGUUCUGCUUUAUUACAAGAACUAGAAGACUCCGAUGAAUGAGGAUGGGACAUCAGUUCUUUUCCAUGGUGUGACUAAAAAGUCGACUCUGCCUUUUUUUGGUCUGUUACAUUGUCAUCUAUUGUUAAAGAGAUCUGUCAGCACCUUUUAAUUCCAUUUAGUUUCUAUGUACAAAACACAGGCUAGGCACUGCGACUGAUGGGAAGAUUGUAGCUGGAUCUUUUUAAGCGUCACUGAGCUCUUUGGAGAGUGAUUCUGGUGGGAUACAACGUCAUGGGGAAUCCGCAGAGAGCAGCUUGAGUGGAAUUCCUGAUCAACCUCCCUUCCGCUUGCUAGAUGUUCUUUAUUAUAGUGAAUUCCAGGGGCAAUUCCUUAAUCUCUCUAAACAGUUUUCUAAUCAGUUCAUACGAGCCUGGUGUCAAAGGGCAAUCGUAAAGAUUUUUUUUAAUUAAAAAAAAUUUUUUUUAAGAUUUUAUUUAUUUAUUUGACAGAGAGAGAGAUCACAAGCAGGCAGAGAGGCAGGCAGAGAGAGAGGGAGA